CAGAAAAAGGCACAGCAGGCGAAAGCCUGUGUCGCAAAGCCACGGAUCUAAACGGCGCUCGCGCCGCACGGCAGCCGGUUGCCAA
rnacentral:ncRNA from 1 species